GGGGCGUUAGCUCAGUUGGCAGAGCAACGGCCUUUUAAGCCGUGGGUCGAAGGUUCGAAUCCUUCACGCCUCACCA
rnacentral:tRNA from 1 species